AGAGUUUGAUCAUGGCUCAGAUUGAACGCUGGCGGCAGGCCUAACACAUGCAAGUCGAGCGAGAAAGCACUUCGGUGUGAGUAGAGCGGCGGACGGGGGAGUAACGCGUAGGAAUUUGCGGAAUUCGCCCAAUAGUGGGGGACAACAUGUGGAAACGCAUGCUAAUACCGAAUACGCCCUACGGGGGAAAGCAGGGGAUCUUCGGACCUUGCGCGCUAUUGGAGAAGCCUGCGUCGGAUUAGCUAGUUGGUGAGGUAAUGGCUCACCAAGGCGACGAUCCGUAGCUGGUCUGAGAGGAUGAUCAGCCACACUGGGACUGAGACACGGCCCAGACUCCUACGGUAGGCAGCAGUGGGGAAUAUUGGACAAUGGGCGAAAGCCUGAUCAAGCCAUGCCGCGUGUGUGAAGAAGGCCACAGCGUUGUAAAGCACUUUCAGUUGGGAGGAAAAGUAGCAGUUUAAUACGCUGUUGCCCUGACGUUACCAACAGAAGAAGCACCGGCUAACUCCGUGCCAGCAGCCGCGGUAAUACGGAGGGUGCAAGCGUUAAUCGGAAUUACUGGGCGUAAAGCGCGCGUAGGUGGUUUGUUAAGCGAGAUGUGAAAGCCCCGGGCUCAACCUGGGAACUGCAUUUCGAACUGGCAGGCUAGAGUAUGGUAGAGGUAAGUGGAAUUUCCUGUGUAGCGGUGAAAUGCGUAGAUAUAGGAAGGAACACCAGUGGCGAAGGCGACUUACUGGACCAAUACUGACACUGAGGUGCGAAAGCGUGGGGAGCAAACGGGAUUAGAUCCCCCGGUAGUCCACGCCGUAAACGAUGUCUACUAGCCGUUGGGAGACUUGAUCUUAGUGGCGCAGCUAACGCAAUAAGUAGACCGCCUGGGGAGUACGGCCGCAAGGUUAAAACUCAAAUGAAUUGACGGGGGCCCGCACAAGCGGUGGAGCAUGUGGUUUAAUUCGACGCAACGCGAAGAACCUUACCUACUCUUGACAUCCUCGGAACUUGGCAGAGAUGCUUUUGGUGCUUCGGGAACUGAGUGACAGGUGCUGCAUGGCUGUCGUCAGCUCGUGUCGUGAGAUGUUGGGUUAAGUCCCGUAACGAGCGCAACCCUUGUCCUUAUUUGCCAGCACGUAAUGGUGGGAACUCUAAGGAUACUGCCGGUGACAAACCGGAGGAAGGGGGGCACGACGUCAAGUCAUCAUGGCCCUUACGAGUAGGGCUACACACGUGCUACAAUGGCUGGUACAAACGGUUGCAAUCUCGCGAGGGUGAGCUAAUCUGAGAAAGCCAGUCGUAGUCCGGAUCGGAGUCUGCAACUCGACUCCGUGAAGUCGGAAUCGCUAGUAAUCGUGAAUCAGAAUGUCACGGUGAAUACGUUCCCGGGCCUUGUACACCCCGCCCUUCACACCAUGGGAGUGGAUUGCACCAGAAGUAGGUAGUUUAACCUUUGGGGGGGCGCUUACCACGGUGUGCUCAAUGACUGGGGUGAAGUCGUAACAAGGUAACCGUA
rnacentral:rRNA from 1 species